CUGCCAUACAACAAAAAUCGUGUGUUACAAGUGUUUACGCUUCGAAUUAUCGUGUCGUUUUGAGAUAGCGAAAAGCGUAGUAGAGGGAGGCGAGAGCCGCCGUAAAACAGAGCCCCCACCAACAGUUCUCAAGUACAUUUUUUCCAAC
ensembl:ncRNA H19M22.5 ncRNA